AGUAGUUCGUAUAAGUUGCUGGAAUAGCUCAGUUGGUUAGAGCGUGUGGCUGUUAACCACAAGGUCGGAGGUUCAAGCCCUCCUUCUAGCGG
rnacentral:tRNA from 1 species